GCAAACUUGGUCAUUUAGAGGAAGUAAAAGUCGUAACAAGGUUUCCGUAGGUGAACCUGCGGAAGGAUCAUUACAGGGUAAUGCCGGAUAAUGUUUUUCUCCUCUUUUUGAGUUGAAAUCUUAUCCCGGCAGCCAUGAUCAUCCCUUUGUGCAUAUAUUGAUAAUCGAGGGUUUUUGUGGCAGACCUCAAAAAUCUGUCAUAAGUCCCUCUAAUAAACUUUUUUUUUUUAUAAAUUUGACUGAAUAAUUUUAUUUGAUAAUAAAAUACAACUUUCAACAACGGAUCUCUUGGCUCUCGCAUCGAUGAAGAACGCAGC
rnacentral:misc_RNA from 1 species